rnacentral:lncRNA from 1 species
GAUUGGGAUCAACCUGUUCCGAGGUGUCAUUGUGCCUCCCGGAAACACCUGGUUCCUGAUAACAGCUCAGCUCCGUGUGGAAGCUUUGAGCAGCUAGGUUACUGGCCCAACAACUUCGACGACUUUGCUGCUGCUCUGAUCACACUGUGGGACGUGAUGGUGGUGAACAAUUGGCAGGUGAUCCUGGAAGCCUAUAAGCACUACUCCGGCCCGUGGUCGAUGGUGUAUUUUGUGCUGUGGUGGUUGGUGUCCUCUGUCAUCUGGAUCAACCUGUUUCUGGCUCUGCUUCUGGAGAACUUUCUCCACAGAUGGGACCCUCAAGGUCAUAAGCAGCUCCUGGUUGGGACCAAGCAGAUCACCUACGAGAUGUCUGUGGAGCUCAUGUUCAGAGAUAUCCUAGAAGAGCCCAAGGAGGAGGAACUGAUGGAGAAGCUACACAAGCAUCCACACUUGCAUCUGUGCAGGUGACAUCAGAGUGGCCUCUAGCUGGGGCGACAGGACAGAGAUGCUGGCGUGGCCCAGGCUGUGGAGACAGCAGCCGGUCGAGAUUGAGCAUGAAAAGAUGGUACCUGGGACAGACCACUCAAGGAUAGACAGAGGCUGGAAUAAGGACUCCUCUCCUGCAGCUGCUCAGCAGUAGCCACCGUGCAAUCUCUGUAGCCGUGACAGACUGGUGGUCAGCACUACAGGACGGCCUUCUUCCAUUUGCUGUUCUUCAGAGCUGCCUGGGUGACUCACUAAGGAGAGAGAUUUCCAAGCACAGGAAUGGAGAAGGCCUCGGCUGUCUUUUACCCACAAGCUCAUCUGUGCCUUCAGCGUCAGUGGCAUUUGUG